rnacentral:rRNA from 1 species
UGGCGGCGUGCUUACACAUGCAAGUCGAACGAGAACGGAUUAUAGCUUGCUAUAAUUGUCAGCUAAGUGGCGCAUGGGUGAGUAAUGUAUAGGUAACGUGCCUUGNAAGAGGGGGAUAACAGUUGGAAACGACUGCUAACACCCUAUAUGCCUUUAUCACAUAAGUGAGCAAGGGAAAUAUUUAUAGCUUCAAGAUCGGCCUGUAUGGUAUCAGCUUGUUGGUGAGGUAAUGGCUCACCAAGGCUAUGACAUCUAACUGGUUUGAGAGGAUGAUCAGUCACACUGGAACUGAGACACGGUCCAGACUCCUACGGGAGGCAGCAGUGGGGAAUAUUGCACAAUGGGGGAAACCCUGAUGCAGCAACGCCGCGUGGAGGAUGACACAUUUCGGUGCGUAAACUCCUUUUAUAGGUCAAGAUAAUGACGGUAGCCUAUGAAUAAGCGCCGGCUAACUCCGUGCCAGCAGCCGCGGUAAUACGGAGGGCGCAAGCGUUACUCGGAAUCACUGGGCGUAAAGAGCGUGUAGGCGGAUAAAUAAGUUGGGAGUGAAAUCCUAUGGCUCAACCAUAGAACUGCUUCCAAAACUGUUUAUCUAGAAUAUGGGAGAGGUAGAUGGAAUUUCUGGUGUAGGGGUAAAAUCCGUAGAGAUCAGAAGGAAUACCGAUUGCGAAGGCGAUCUACUGGAACAUUAUUGACGCUGAGACGCGAAAGCGUGGGGAGCAAACAGGAUUAGAUACCCUGGUAGUCCACGCCCUAAACGAUGUACACUAGUUGUUGCUAUGCUAGACAUAGCAGUAAUGCAGUUAACACAUUAAGUGUACCGCCUG